rnacentral:lncRNA from 12 species
CUGUAUGUAUGUAUAUUAUAUAUAUAAAUAUAUAUGUGUGUAUAUUUUUUCCACAGUAGAAACUAUAGAAAGUAAACCAAUACUUGACAACAUUUGCUUGGCUGGAAGAAAUAUGCAGAAUAUACACUCAUUUUCAAAUGGAAGUUCACCUGAGCUUAAGGAGCCCAGGAAGAGCUGAGGACUUGACAUUCACCUGUUCAAGUUCAUUCUAAGUUUAAGAUGCUCCAAAGAACCACAAAAUAAGAUUUGAAAGCUGAUGAUCCUGUUCUGCUCCCUGCUGGCUGUGUGACCCUGGACAAAGGCCUUAGCAGCCCUGUUCCUUAUCAUCAAGCAGGGCCAUUGUAAAGACUAUACAAGAUGGCAUAUUGGAAGAAUGCUUUGCCAACUAUAAAUUUCUACAGAAGAUGUAGCUGUUAAUCUUAGCUAUACAGUUUUUCUCUUACUUGGGGAAAGACCAUUAAAAUUGUAACGUAUUUUUAAGAGAAAUUUCAGGGGUUUUUUACCAUUAAAUAAAUGCAUUAUCUGACAAAAUGUUGUCA